rnacentral:rRNA from 1 species
CAAGGUUUCCGUAGGGGAACUGCGGAAGGGAUCAUUG